CCCCGAAGUUCAUUACCCGGUGACUUUGUGCCUGUCGCUGCGGACUGGGUCCCCUGUAAUAUCUCCAGAAGCGCUCUGACAGGCAGCCGCGGGGAGGGGAAUAGGGCGUCCCUGGCCCACUUAGCUUUUCCCCCAACUCCUGGCGGGGUCUGACGUCAGCCAUGUGCGGGGAGGAGAUGGUAAGAGGGAGGGGGUUAAAUGCUAAUGAUAUUAAUGAACCUCCAAGCGGCUCCCAAAGAAAAUGCAGGCGCUCUUGGAGCUGAGGAGUUAAGUGUGAAUAUGGAAGUGUGGCUCUGUGCGGAGGGCCAGACAGAUUCGUGGAAGAACUGGGUGGCUGUGUGUUUGUGUGUGAUUAUGCACGCCGGAUAUGGCCAUGUGAGUUGGUUCAUUCUUGGUCCCGUGCCCCUUCUGUUGGGUAAAACUUGGAUCUGGUCCGAGAGCAUUUCCCAUAUCAAAAAGUUAACAGCACUCUCUGAGAA
ensembl:lncRNA